ensembl:lncRNA
GCUGAUUAAAGUUUAUGACUCUGCACUAAAAUAUUAUUUAAAUUUACAUCAUUAUUAUAAUAUUUAGGGUCAGAUCCUACAGUAUUGAGAUUAAGAAAUCAAAUAUUCUAUAAAAUGUAAAUACACUGAAUUCAUUUGGAUAUAUUUAAGUGAAACUCUACAAUAUUAUUUGACACAAAUCUAUCUAAAUCAAAAUUUUAAUAAUUUUCAUGCCAAACAUUUACUGGACUGAUUUAAAGAUUAAAAUCACUCCUUUCUAAUCCUCUGCUGUACGUUCAAACCUGAGGCCUUAAAUAGAAACACACAAGUAUCUGUUUGAAGGAACUUCUGUAGAGUCCUGGUUCCAGAACAUGAUGAUAGAAUUAUAGACAAACUUUAACAAAAGCUGCCUGAGAGUUUACAGGUUUUUAUGCUGGAUUUCUUCAGUAAUUUAAUGAGCGUUAUCAGCAAAAAUCAAGUGUUCAUUUGAUGAACUUGAUUUCCUAAAACAUACAGAAUUGGAGCUCAUAUCUUUGGCAGCUGUAAAGUUUCUGCUCCUUCAAAGUUCACAACACAAUGAAUGAAUUCCUAAAACACCCUCAAUGCUGGAGAGCAUUUGAUGCUGAAGCAGUGACCAGUUUUUCUGUUUCUUCUCUGGAGAUGCACAAUGAGGGACGUCUGCAGAGACUGAGAAAGAGUCUCACCACAUCCUGACAUGAGGAAAAAGACCUUAUUGAAGACUACAAUGAGAAAAACUAUCAGACAGCAGACGGCUGCAUUCAAGUCUGUAGCUGCUGAAUUCAUGGAUGAAUCAUCUGGCACUAGAGAAGAAGACCAUCAAACAUCCACAUCAGCUGAUGGAGGUCCAAGAGUCUCACCGAACAACCAACCUACAGAGUGAAGACCUCAAAUCUG